rnacentral:rRNA from 1 species
AGAGUUUGAUCCUGGCUCAGGAUGAACGCUGGCGGCGUGCCUAAUACAUGCAAGUCGAGCGAACGGACGAGAAGCUUGCUUCUCUGAUGUUAGCGGCGGACGGGUGAGUAACACGUGGAUAACCUACCUAUAAGACUGGGAUAACUUCGGGAAACCGGAGCUAAUACCGGAUAAUAUUUUGAACCGCAUGGUUCAAAAGUGAAAGACGGUCUUGCUGUCACUUAUAGAGAUCCGCGCUGCAUUAGCUAGUUGGUAAGGUAACGGCUUACCAAGGCAACGAUGCAUAGCCGACCUGAGAGGGUGAUCGGCCACACUGGAACUGAGACACGGUCCAGACUCCUACGGGAGGCAGCAGUAGGGAAUCUUCCGCAAUGGGCGAAAGCCUGACGGAGCAACGCCGCGUGAGUGAUGAAGGUCUUCGGAUCGUAAAACUCUGUUAUUAGGGAAGAACAUAUGUGUAAGUAACUGUGCACAUCUUGACGGUACCUAAUCAGAAAGCCACGGCUAACUACGUGCCAGCAGCCGCGGUAAUACGUAGGUGGCAAGCGUUAUCCGGAAUUAUUGGGCGUAAAGCGCGCGUAGGCGGUUUUUUAAGUCUGAUGUGAAAGCCCACGGCUCAACCGUGGAGGGUCAUUGGAAACUGGAAAACUUGAGUGCAGAAGAGGAAAGUGGAAUUCCAUGUGUAGCGGUGAAAUGCGCAGAGAUAUGGAGGAACACCAGUGGCGAAGGCGACUUUCUGGUCUGUAACUGACGCUGAUGUGCGAAAGCGUGGGGAUCAAACAGGAUUAGAUACCCUGGUAGUCCACGCCGUAAACGAUGAGUGCUAAGUGUUAGGGGGUUUCCGCCCCUUAGUGCUGCAGCUAACGCAUUAAGCACUCCGCCUGGGGAGUACGACCGCAAGGUUGAAACUCAAAGGAAUUGACGGGGACCCGCACAAGCGGUGGAGCAUGUGGUUUAAUUCGAAGCAACGCGAAGAACCUUACCAAAUCUUGACAUCCUUUGACAACUCUAGAGAUAGAGCUUUCCCCUUCGGGGGACAAAGUGACAGGUGGUGCAUGGUUGUCGUCAGCUCGUGUCGUGAGAUGUUGGGUUAAGUCCCGCAACGAGCGCAACCCUUAAGCUUAGUUGCCAUCAUUAAGUUGGGCACUCUAAGUUGACUGCCGGUGACAAACCGGAGGAAGGUGGGGAUGACGUCAAAUCAUCAUGCCCCUUAUGAUUUGGGCUACACACGUGCUACAAUGGACAAUACAAAGGGCAGCGAAACCGCGAGGUCAAGCAAAUCCCAUAAAGUUGUUCUCAGUUCGGAUUGUAGUCUGCAACUCGACUACAUGAAGCUGGAAUCGCUAGUAAUCGUAGAUCAGCAUGCUACGGUGAAUACGUUCCCGGGUCUUGUACACACCGCCCGUCACACCACGAGAGUUUGUAACACCCGAAGCCGGUGGAGUAACCUUUUAGGAGCUAGCCGUCGAAGGUGGGACAAAUGAUUGGGGUGAAGUCGUAACAAGGUAGCCGUAUCGGAAGGUGCGGCUG